rnacentral:rRNA from 1 species
UUUUUCAUAUACCCCUAUAGAAUGUAACAGAAUGUAUCAUUGGGCCUUGUGCCUAUAAACCUUAUACAACUUUCAGCAACGGAUCUCUUGGCUCUCGCAUCGAUGAAGAACGCAGCGAAAUGCGAUAAGUAAUGUGAAUUGCAGAAUUCAGUGAAUCAUCGAAUCUUUGAACGCACCUUGCGCUCCUUGGUAUUCCGAGGAGCAUGCCUGUUUGAGUGUCAUUAAAUUCUCAACCUUAUUAACUUUUGUUGAUAAUGGAUUGGAUUGUGGGGGUUUCUUUUGCUGGCUUCUUCACAGAGAUCAGCUCCCCUUAAAUGCAUUAGCUGGUGCCCCGCGUGGACCAUCUAUUGGUGUGAUAAUUAUCUACGCCGUGGAUGUCUGCAAUCAUAUGGGUUUCGCACUGCUUCUAACCGUCUGUUCAUUCGGACAAUACAUGACAAUUGACCUCAAAUCAGG